rnacentral:lncRNA from 1 species
UCCCAGAAGCUGUCAGCUUCUGUGGUGCACACUCUCAUCUGUGCAGACUAAGUUCCUAAGUUUGGUGGAGUCCCGGAACCAAGGUGGCGCCCACUGCUCCUGAGGCUGAGGGCUUCCAAGCCAGGCGGACACCUGUCCUCUGGUCGGCACGGUGGCCGGCUGUCUGCGGCCCGAAAAGGGUGCUGCCUCAGCAGCCCUGUGGCUCCGCCUGUCCCAGAAGCUGUCUGGUUCUGUGGUGCACCCUCUCACCUGUUUAGACUAAUUUCCUAAGUUCGGCGGAGUCCCCAAGGUCUCAAUUCUUGUGUGGAAUUGAAGGUAAGGAGGAUACUGGGUGGAGGGUAUUGGGUUGGAGGUGGAGGGGCACCUCUGGAGAGGACCCUGGUGGGGAAUAAAGCUCACUGCUGGCUCCAGAAGAGCACUCUUCCCAUUGGGCACAGCUGCACUGGGCUCUGGAGCAGGGCUGUGUUUGCUGCUGCUCCCCUAUUUUGAUGGGGCUAGCCAUGUCCUUUGGAGCUCUGUUGCCAUUGCCUGCACACAUGUCCUUCACUUCAGUGGGGAGCCAUUGCCCACAGUGGUCACCCGAGUCACACUUCUUAUUCUUGCCUUUCUUAACUGUCGUCAUCGUAGGGUGGGACACUAGCAUUGCAGCGUGGCUGUGGAGUCAGAAGACUGGUCCUUUCCCUUCCCCUAUCCAGCUCAGAUCACCAGACAAAAAUUUUCUCUUUCAUAUAUUUACACAAGUUCAAAAUGAUAUUCACAGCAUCUUCUAAAUUUUGGCCAAGAGUCAAAAAAAUGCAUUUAAACUUUGGAACUUGCCCACAUAGACAGGAGAUCAACCCCAGCAGUUGGCGGGGCAGACCCCUGAGAACCAAAGGGCUAGGAAAGUCAGGAGGACUCUUCAGUUUAUGAACUUGGUUCAGCGGACCAAGGCUGAUGCAUCUGCAAGGGAUAUACACAGUUCAUCUAACUGGCACCGGUCCCCUCCAUCACUUGCUGAGCCUGCUUCUGUCCCAUGCAGCACUGUGCAACAGACUGAAAUAACUUUUCAAUCUCUGGGGCACAGUGUACAAAUUCAUGGUUCCAGAACUUAAAUGCUGGGUUUUUAAUCAGCUCAAUGAAGGUGAUAAGAAGACCCCAAGGAUGUGGCCUAUUUACAAUCAACCGUUCCAAGAGAACCCUUGUGAUCUGUUCCUGGAUUGCCUCAGUGUUCGCCUCAGCAAAAAGGUACAACAUUGUGCAGCUGAAGUAGUGAGUGUGGCUGUUUGGGUACCGUAGCUGGUUCGCAAUUGCAUUUAAGAAGAGAUAUCGGCCCUCAGUGUCUAGGUCCACAGCCAGGUUCUGGAAGAUGUCCAUGUGUGCUGAGUGGGUGAUGGUGCUCAUUGACGGCGUGCUGCCCUUGUUGUGGAUGUGUGCGAUAGCCUGAGUCCCUACGUAGAGCACCAAUGCAUUGAUAAGCUGGAGGUUGUAACGAUUCCCGGGCUCAUUAGAUACCUGUAGGUUACUACGCAGAUCAGACAGGAAAGUGACCGGCGACCGAGUUUUAAGAUAAGAAUCCAAAUCCUUUUUGAACUGAGGCGGCAUCACUCCAGUGAAAUUGGUGAGGAUCCGAGGUGCGAUGUUAAUUUCGCUUAACAUGUCCACCUUCAGAUUAGGAGUGAAUGGGUCUGGGAGCCUCAUGUUUCUUGGGAAGGCACUCAGGAUCAAAUUUCUUAACUGGAUACAAUUAGGAGGGAUCACAUCACAGAACCCAUAAUGGUAAUCACAAAGGAACUCUGGGAAAUCAUGCAAAAGAACCAGCAGCACUCUCAGAGUACCCUUGUAGAGGAUUUGCAUAGGUUUAGUGAGUUCCACAUUUCUAAGGAAAGGGUAACACCAACUUCUGUAGCCAGUCUCAGAACAGCAGCUGGACUCACCAUCACAUAGAGAUCAGGUUUUGCUUUGGUAGAAUCACUCCUACGUGAUGAUACUGUGUACUUGUUUUAACAUUACUUAAUACAUUUUUUUAAUGUUUUGUUAUGGCUUUUUCUUUUCUAUCUUAUGCAACGACAUGACCAAAGGUGGCUGUCCGGGCUGCUUUGAAAUCUACGUGCCCAGCCUAUGUGACAUGGUGCCAUCGAUGCAGACCUUGCAGUAGCACUGUGAAUUAAGCAUCCUAGUCUAUCCGAUUCUCUCUGCCUCUCUCUCUGUCUCUCUCUGUCUCUCUCUCUCUCUGUCUCUGUCUCUCUUGCUUUCUUGCUCCUGCUCUCGAUUGCUCUUGUUCCUUCUCCUCUUUCUCCUCCUCCUUGUAAUACCAAGGCAACCCAGGUUUUACUGUUUUCUGGAAUAGAGUAUUUGUGUUAAACUGCUAUAAAUUCUCCAUGACAUCCUUGGCAGAAUUCAGUGGUGAAAACAUCUGGGCAUGGAGAUUUAUUUUGAGGGGGAGUUUAAAGUUAGGAGGUUUUUUUGUUUUUUGUUUUUUGUUUUUUUUUGUUUGUUUGUUUGUUUGUUUUUUAACUAGUUAUAGCACAUUGGGAUUAUAUGAACUGGGUUGAGGUAACUUGUGCUUCACCAGGUUGUUAGUUAGACCUCCAUCACUGUGACAUGUGUGGGGACAGCUCUAGGAAGAAGUUAUUGGGAUUGACAUUCAGAUGCUUCCAUUAUUUGUGACUGGGAAGUGAGUCCCAGAGCCUCAGGGCAGAAGGAUGUGAGUACUUCUUUUUACCAGAUGGUGGCGCCAGCCUAUAGACUGCAACCGAAAUGACAAAAGCCAAAGGGAGAGGUGUAUUCAUGAGCUUUGCCUGGAAAUGCACCAAGGAUGCAAGGACUUGCUUUCUUGGGAUAGCCAGGGUGACUGGGAAGGCCCAAAUCAGCAGGACUCAGGGUUGCGCUACACUAUACGGGUCACCUUUCUGAAACUCUAACACAGUAAGUACUGUGUAUGAGGGUAGUUUAAAAACACCACCACCACCACCACCACCACCACCACCACCACCCAACAGCUGUGGCUUCUUUAAACCCAGGGAAGCAGGGAAAACUCUUCAGACAGGACCCCAACUACAUAAGGAUUCAGACUUUGUGUAUCGUGUCCAAGCUAUAGUAUGAGUGCAACCUGGGAUGGGAUAUGAGAUGCUCAGGCUAACACAAUUUCACCUGUCAAAACACAGGCAUUUAGGAUGAUGCAGCAUGGGACCGGGGUGUGGUUCAUGCUAGAGUGUAUGUGUAGGCUAUGUGAGGCCCGGGGUUCUAGACCCUGACUCCUCCUACCCCUUCACCUCCAGACAGAGAAAUGGAAGGCAUGAGCCUUGUAGGUAGCUGGUUGUCAUAGCUGGCUUCAGCUUGGGCCACCUGGGAAGAGGGGACGCCAGUUGAGGAACUGCCUCCAUCACAUCAGCUUAUGAGCAUGUCCAUGGUAUGUUUUCUUUAUUGCUAAUUAAUGUAGGCGGGUCCUGCCCACUGUGGGCAGUGCCAUUCUUAGGCACUGGUCUGUAUAAGAGAAGAAACCAAACAAGGCAGAAAUGAAUGUUUCUCUAUAACUAUGAGCACGUGCCUUGCAUUCCUGACUUGGUUCCCUCGAUGAUGUGAGCCAGAUCACCUUUUUCAAUUCCCGAGUUACUUUUGGCCAUGCUGUCUAUCACGGCCACAGAAGCCUACCUAUAACACCUUUUAAGACUUGUUUCUUCCUUUCUGUAUUAGCUGGGUGCCUUGGAAGACAAGUGGCCUGAACUUCCAGUUGCUUCUCAGAACUUUGUGGUGCUAGCGCCCACUGCUGUCCAUUCCUUGUUCUGCAGAAGACAAGUCGAGUCCCAGUGUUGGCCAGCAUUCUUUGUUUUCCCUGGGGAUUGUAGCACCGAUUCACUCAUUACAGUAGCACUGUAAACUCAUUGCAGUGCAGCUAGGCUCCUCUCCAGCCCCAUUGUCUGAAGAAUGGAAUGCUAGCCAGCAACAGCAUCAAGAAGAGAAAGGUAGCCCUCGCCUCAGUGACACUGGUAAUCUAAGAGCAGUCUAUGAAUCUAUGUAUCUCUUCUUUCAGGGUCAGUUGAGCCCCUUGAAGUGGCACCUUGCAGGGUCUAAAGACAAAGCUAAGGACACUAUUUUUUUAAAAUCAGAUAUUUUCUUUAUAUACAGUUCAAAUGCUAUCCCGAAAGUUCCCUAUACCCUCCCUCCGCCCUGCUCCCCUACCCCCCCCCCAACUCCCACUUCUUGGCCCUGGCAUUCCCCUGUACUGGGGCAUAUAAAGUUUGCUAGACCAAGGGGCCUUUCUUCCCAGUGAUGGCUAACUAGGCCAUCUUCUGCUACAUAUGCAGCUAGAGACACGAGCUCUGGGGGGUACUGGUUAGUUCAUAUUAUUGUUCCACCUAUAGGGUUGCAGAUCCCUUCAGCUCCUUGGGUGCUUUUAACCCAGACACUAUUGUAUAUGCCAGAAAGAUUUUGCUGAAGGAACCCUGUUAUAACUGUCUCAUAUGAGGUUAUGCCAAUGCCUGGCAAAUACAGAAGUGGAUGCUCUAUAAGAUGGAACACAGGGCCCCCAAUGGAGAAGCUACAGACACGCUCUUUCAAGAGAAGGAGGCAGGGACACUUAAGAGAACACUAUCGUCCUCUUUUAUCACAGAGACAGACACCGAGACAGACAGACAGACAUACACACACACACACACACACACACACACAGGAAAUGAUUUAAGGUAACAGUAUCCUGUUCUGACUGUUUUGUGUUUGGUUAGACACUUCUUAGCCCCUCUGUGUCUCUCUCAACUGUCAUAUCUGUCUUGGCAACACAUUUGACAUUUUCAUGGCCUUGACCACGGUCCAGAUGUAUUAAUCAAAAUACUUGGUAAGUUAUGUCUAAAGUAACUGCUAUGCUCUGCUAGGAGGGAAGGUUUCAAUGUUACUCUGACCCUGAUCUAAUAACUCUGGUGUAACUUGGUGGUUUUUGCCUUUAAAAAUGCUGAAUUCCUGUGCUUGGGCACUGAGAGAUAUUUUGGAGGCUCAAGCCUGCUCUUUGUCUGGCCAUCGAUAUAAAAGACUUAAAACUUUUAAUUGGCUUAAUUAGUGUGGUAGUCAAUAACUAUCUCGUGUGGAUCAUUGAGAGAAACGAGAGGGGAGUCAGGCACCUUUGUCUGUUAGCUUGACUCCGGAGAUGACUGACUAAGAAAGACUUGCUUUCGUGGAGGAAAGCUCUGGGGGCCUGGACUGCUCAGAAUGGGAAAGAGGAGAAACCCAGGUAAGGGUGGCCAUUCCCAUCCAUCUCUCUGUUUCCCCAUCCCCUGCGGUGCACAGAGUCCCACACGCAUGCGCCCGCUGCCGUGCCUUCCCAGGCCUGAUGAAUUUAUAUCCCAUCAAACUACACGCCCCGUCCAAACCCCUCCUCCCUGAAGUUGCUUCUUGUCAUGUAUGCUGUCGCUGCAGUGAGAAGGGAAUCACACCAACCCUCAGGCUGCCUCAGUGACGUGUGGACUGGGAAGAAUGAGCCGGGGGUCUUCUGGGAGCAGAAGGGAGGAAAGAGGGGUGGGUCUUGGGGCUGGUGGGGGUGCCGGAAGAGGACAGCUCUUCUCAACUGCCCUCACAUGUGCCUCAGAAUCACUCCUGACACUGCUGCAAAUGAGCAUCUUCCUGAUCCCGUGGGGACCGAGCUGCAGUGGAGAGACCCCCUCAGAUGGCGGUUGCCAGUGUCUUCCUGAAACAAGAAUUGAAAUCCAAGUCUGUCCUUUGGCUUUUGCUCACUUUCCCCCACUGUGCCUCCUUUUUUCAAUGUAGUCAAGCAAGACUAGCACUUGAGAGGCUGAGGCAGGUGGAUGGCAAGCUUGAAGUGAGCCUAGGCUACCUCUCAAGACUCAAAGCAAGCAAGCAAAGCCAACAACAGGGGGGAAAAACAUAGCUAUAUUUAUCAUCAAAUCAAUGUCAAAAUAAAAACCUGAGAUUCUCCACCCAGUGAAUAAUCAUUGGCAAAUGUCUUUCCAGGGUAACGAUGCUCAAAGGUGGCUGUUGGCUGUUUAAUGCAUAUGUCACAGUCUGUGGCAGUCUGCUAACCUGUCAAUCUUGUAUUCUCAUUUGCCUUGGUAACAGGACUCAUGGCAAUGUGCCCAAGAGAAAUAAAAUCAUUCUCCGGGUUCCUUAACUGAUAGGAACUACUGACAGCAUUUAUAGUAGAAGAGGUUCCUGCAGCAUCUGCUGUCAUGUUUCCCUGGGAUUCCCUGUGCCAAGGAGGGCCAAAGAGAGUCCCCAUUGAGCAUCUGCUGUGGGAGCUGGAGGCUCCUCCUCCAUUGUCAUCCCUCACCAUCCUGGUGACCUGCACCUUCGCCCUGGCUUUUCAUGCCUGUGACAGGCUCUGACUGUAGCUUUCUCUGGGCCAGGCUGGAUUUCUGGUAGCCGUAACUGGGCCUUGCAGGUAGUGGAACAGAGGAGCAGAAUGAUCUGGAACCUUUGGUGAGUUCAAAGAAUUGAUACAAG